rnacentral:rRNA from 1 species
GGUCAAGUGAAGAAGCGCAUACGGUGGAUGCCUUGGCAGUCAGAGGCGAUGAAAGACGUGGUAGCCUGCGAUAAGCUUUGGGGAGUCGGCAAACAGACUGUGAU